rnacentral:misc_RNA from 1 species
GUGAAUCAUCAAAUUUUUGAACGCAAAUUGCACUCUCCGGCUUUCCGGGAGAGUAUGCCUGUUUGAGGGUCAGCCUAAAAAAAAUCGACAUUGUUGCUGUUAUUUAAUGGUGAGUUUCGUCGGAGAUUGGGUUAUCUUAUAUCUUUUUUUUUUUUUGGUUUAAGGGAUUUAAAAUUAUUCUUUAGGAUUCCAUUAAUGUUUCUAAGAUUUUUAUUUUUUAU